AUCAGGAAGUGUGUCCCUCGCCUGUAAUCCAAGUUACCGGGAGGCUGAGGCUGGAGGAGCGUUUGAGCUCAGGAGCUCUGGGCUGCAGCGGACUAUGUCGAUCGGGUGUCCGCACUAAGUUCGGUAUCGAUAUGGUGCUCCGGGGGAAGCCCGGGAUCACCAGGUCGUCUAAGGAGGGGUGCACCGGCCCAGGUCGGACACGGAGCAGGUCAAAGCCCCCGAGAAUAGACGCUAUAAGACAGCGGGACUCAGUCUUUAUGCUGCCACUGUUACACCCUGAAACAUGGAAAAUGAAU
ensembl:misc_RNA Metazoa_SRP Metazoan signal recognition particle RNA